rnacentral:rRNA from 1 species
UACGAAGGGUGCAAACGUUGCUCGGAAUUAUUGGGCGUAAAGCGCACGUAGGCGGUAUUGCAAGUCGGAUGUGAAAUCCCUCGGCUCAACCGAGGAACUGCAUCCGAUACUGGCGGGCUUGAAUCCGGGAGAGGGAUGUGGAAUUCCAGGUGUAGCGGUGAAAUGCGUAGAUAUCUGGAGGAACACCGGUGGCGAAGGCGGCAUCCUGGACCGGUAUUGACGCUGAGGCGCGAAAGCUAGGGGAGCAAACGGG